rnacentral:lncRNA from 1 species
GCUUGUGUUCAGCUCUAUCCCCAGAACUUGGCUUUCCUUCAGAGGUGCCAAGAAGCUGAGACUGUGGAAUCUUAGCCAACACUGCUUGAGGAAAGAAUGGGAAGAGGAGUAUUGUGAGAUGUCUCAGCUGGUAUGCCAGGGAAGAGUUGGUGUCAUGGUGACAUUGAGCAAGAGGCUGAAGAAGAAGCCAUGACUCAGGCUCCUGAAUUGCUGAACAUGUACUAUAUUCUAGGGAUUACAGUAGUCUCGUGUGUGCUGCUGCUUUGGGUAAUUGUGUGUUGCAUAGCCAUGUCAUGGCUGCUGGAGAAAGACAAGUGAGUUGGCUUUUCACUGCAGUUAUUUAUUGCUGGCUUGACAAAGCAACUGCUGGCAGUACUCUGCUGAGAUUUCCCCAGUGCAGUCCUUUAACUGUCCUCUUAAUUAAUAUCAAUGAGUAGUCUUUUCUGAAAUGUAUUUGCACAGGGUGCCCCAGAGAUGUGGAGCAGCACUGGGACAAGCUGAUACUGGCUGUCUGGAAAAGCCAAGAUCAAAGAAGAGGUAGAGGUGAGGCAGAGUCAGAAGGACCAGGAUGCAGAUCUCCCAACUCUGCCCACUUGUUUCAGCUGCUCUCUGGCUGGUGCUGCCUCUUCACAGGCUACUGGGUAUCUGUGGAUUCACCUCAUCCCACAUCAUCCCAGUGUCCCAGUAUCAACAGGGAUAUUGUGCCUCGGAAGACUAUCAUUUUUUCAAUGAAUAAUAUAUAUUUUUCUUUUUUUUGCUAAAGAAGUGAGUUCUUGGCUGUUUUGGCUGUUUCUGUUUGGGUAAAAAGCACAGAGCUGGUGUGUGUCUGUGAGAGAGGCUGUCAGAGACUUGCACUGCAGCGUGGGACACCUCUGUAUCAGCAUCAGUCUGUUUUCUUCACUAGGGCCAUCAUCAAGGCUUCCCUCCACCAGAAUGGAGACUUGCUGGUGACACAUGAGGUGCAAAGGCUUGUCCAUGAGCUUACUUGAGAUGUUGCCCUGAAUCAGGAUUGUCUGGGUAGAGAGGGAAGGAGGGAUAGACACCCAGUGCUGAGCACAUCAAGGAGGGCUGAUGGGGUAACAGAGGCUGCAGAUGCAGCAGUGUCCCCCACCCCAGAGCUCGGAGAUGAUAAAUGAGUGGAAAGUUGGAGCAGGGCUGGGUGGGAGAGCAGAGAGA